CUUGGUAAGAAUAGCUGCGGGGGUACACCUGGUCCCAUACCGAACCCAGAAGUUAAGCUCGUAAACGCUGAAAGUACUUGGAGGGAAGCCUCCCGGGAGGAUAGGUACUUGCCAAGC
rnacentral:rRNA from 1 species